AAUGAAUGGAGAAGAAGAAAAGGAGAAAAGAUAGAUUGUCAAUAGGAAGGAACAAAUAUAGAGGGGAUCGUCAUAAAAGAUAGGGCCAUGGGUAGAUUUAGAGAAGGAAGAGGACGAGGAGAAGAAGUGGAUGAGGAAAAAAGAGAAAAGAGAACAGACCAUCUAUGUUAGAGGAGGAGGAGAAAAAUGAUGAGGAGAAGAGGAAGGGCAUGAUAGA
rnacentral:lncRNA from 1 species